rnacentral:rRNA from 1 species
UUGGAGGGCAAGUCGGGUGCCAGCAGCCGCGGUAAUUCCAGCUCCAAUAGCGUAUAUUAAAGUUGUUGUGGUUAAAAAGCUCGUAGUUGAACCUUGGGCCUGGCUGGCCGGUCCGCCUCACCGCGUGUACUGGUCCGGCCGGGCCUUUCCCUCUGUGGAACCCCAUGCCCUUCACUGGGUGUGGCGGGGAAACAGGACUUUACUGUGAAAAAAUUAGAGUGCUCCAGGCAGGCCUAUGCUCGAAUACAUUAGCAUGGAAUAAUAGAAUAGGACGUGUGG